GGGAAUGUGGGCAGAGACGGAGACAGACCGCCCCAGAGGGAAGCAGAUGUGAGGAGACACGCGGGGAAGAUGGCACCUACAAGCCAAGGAUGGAGGCUGAUCCUUCCUUCCCAGACCUCAGGAGGCGCCACCCUGCUGAGACCCUGACUUCUUGCCUGCAAAACGGUAGGAAAUCAGGAUCCCAGGGAGCUGGAGAGCCGCACUGGAAUCAUUCCGCCAGGACACAGAACUUUCUGGAGCCGCGCUAUCCCCACUAAUCCACACUGCCUUGAGAGUCAGCAUUUAUUUUUCAACCAAACCCUCUUAUCUCUGGUCUGGAAAGACUCACUAAAAUGUUAAGUCUGAAUAAACACCAACGACUCGCAUUUCUGUUUUUGGAGAAACACGGUUCAAGGAAAUCAUCUCCUUGGCGAUGGCAGCUGCCCCAUAUGAUGGCAACAAAGGCUGGGGGCUCCGUUUCAGCCAGAAAUCAAUAAAGACAUAUCCUCAGGAGAGGAUUUAAAAACUAAUGCUAACCAGGAGCCACGCACCAGUGGCCUCCCUCUCCGUUUCCAGUCUCCACUGAGUCUUCAGCCUUUUAUCUAUCUUUAUAUAUAACA